GAUGAACGCUGGCGGCGUGCUUAACACAUGCAAGUCGAACGAAGCACCUUGAUUUGAUUCUUCGGAUGAAGAUCUUGGUGACUGAGUGGCGGACGGGUGAGUAACGCGUGGGUAACCUGCCUCAUACAGGGGGAUAACAGUUAGAAAUGACUGCUAAUACCGCAUAAGACCACAGUACCGCAUGGUACAGGGGUAAAAACUCCGGUGGUAUGAGAUGGACCCGCGUCUGAUGAGGUAGUUGGUGGGGUAACGGGCUACCAAGCCGACGAUCAGUAGCCGACCUGAGGGGGUGACCGGCAACAUUGGGACUGAGACACGGCCCAAACUCCUACGGAAGGCAGCAGUGGGGAAUAUUGCACAAUGGGGGAAACCCUGAUGCAGCGACGCCGCGUGAGCGAUGAAGUAUUUCGGUAUGUAAAGCUCUAUCAGCAGGGAAGAAAAUGACGGUACCUGACUAAGAAGCACCGGCUAAAUACGUGCCAGCAGCCGCCGUAA
rnacentral:rRNA from 1 species